GAUGAACGCUAGCGGCAGGCUUAAUACAUGCAAGUCGUGGGGCAGCAUGAGUAGCAAUACUUGAUGGCGACCGGCAAACGGGUGCGGAACACGUACACAACCUUCCUUCAAGCGGGGAAUAGCCCAGAGAAAUUUGGAUUAAUACCCCAUAAAAUAUAAAAAUGGCAUCAUUUAUAUAUUAAAAGCUUCGGCACUUGAUGAUGGGUGUGCGGCUGAUUAGAUAGUUGGCGAGGUAACGGCUCACCAAGUCUACGAUCAGUAGCUGAUGUGAGAGCAUGAUCAGCCACACGGGCACUGAGACACGGGCCCGACUCCUAACGGGAGGCAGCAGUAAGGAAUAUUGGACAAUGGACGAAAGUCUGAUCCAGCCA
rnacentral:rRNA from 1 species